rnacentral:rRNA from 1 species
GAUGAACGCUGGCGGCGUGCCUAAUACAUGCAAGUCGAGCGAAGCGGGGACGGGUGAGUAACACGUGGAUAACCUCCUAUAAGACUGGGAUAACUUCGGGAAACCGGAGCUAAACCGGAUAAUUAUAGAUGGAUCCGCGCGGAAUUAGCUAGUUGGUAGGGUAACGGCUUACCAAGGCAACGAUGCAUAGCGGACCUGAGAGGGUGAUCGGCCAAACUGGAACUGAGACACGGUCCAGACUCCGACGGAGGGCAGCAGUGGGAAAUGUUCCGAAAGGGGCGAAGGCCUGACGGAGCAACGCGGCGUGGGUGAGGAGGGUCUUCGGAUCGUAAGACUCUGUUAUUGGGGAGGCGGUACCUAAUCAGAAAGCCACGGCUAACUACGUGCCAGCAGCCGCGGUAAUAC